AGUUAAGAACAGCCAGGGCUCUAGAGCUGGCAGCCUGAAUUUACAUCUUUAUUCUGCUAUUUGAUGACCUUGACCUUGCUGUGCCUCAUAUGAAAGGGGAGGACUAGGUGAUAUAAGCUACUGUAAGCAGCAUAACUGGAAAAUCUUAAACGGCUAAGAGACAGCAUCACCCGAAGACAGAGAGAGAAGCAAAAAUCAGGAAAGCAGACAGACUUGGAGAUCACGGUCCCAAUUCGGCACUCACAGCACCUGCCUGCAAAAGUGGAGUUUGGAGUCUAUGAGAGUGGCCCCAGGAAAAGUGUCAUUCCCCCCAGGACGGAGCUGAGACGAGGAGACUGGAAAACAGACAGCACCUCCAGCACAGCAAGUAGCACAAGUAACCGCUCCAGCACCCGGAGCCUCCUCAGUGUGAGCAGCGGGAUGGAAGGGGACAACGAGGAUAAUGAAGUCCCUGAGGUUACCAGAAGUCGCAGUCCAGGCCCCCCACAAGUGGAUGGGACACCCACCAUGUCCCUCGAGAGACCCCCCAGGGUGCCUCCGAGAGCUGCGUCACAGAGGCCUCCGACCAGGGAGACCUUCCAUCCUCCUCCACCUGUUCCACCCAGAGGACGCUGAUUCCACCUCCUA
rnacentral:sRNA from 1 species